ACGGUGAAACCGCGAAUGGCUCAUUAAAUCAGCUAUGGUUCCUUAGAUCAUACAACGUUACUUGGAUAACUGUAGUAAUUCUAGAGCUAAUACAUGCCGCAAAGCCCCGACCUUACGGAAGGGUGGAUUUAUUAGAUCAAAACCAACCGGACUUAGGUCCGCCAGGUUGAUGACUCUGAAUAACUUACCUGAUCGCACGACCCCGAGUCGGCGACGUAUCUUUCAAAUGUCUGCCCUAUCAACUUACGAUGGUAGGUGAUAUGCCUACCAUGGUGAUUACGGGUAACGGGGAAUCAGGGUUCGAUUCCGGAGAGGGAGCCUGAGAAACAGCUACCACAUCCAAGGAAGGCAGCAGGCGCGCAAAUUACCCACUCCCGGCACGGGGAGGUAGUGACGAAAAAUAACGAUACGGGACUCUUUUGAGGCCCCGUAAUUGGAAUGAGUACACUUUAAAUCCUUUAACGAGGACCCAUUGGAGGGCAAGUCUGGUGCCAGCAGCCGCGGUAAUUCCAGCUCCAAUAGCGUAUAU
rnacentral:rRNA from 2 species